CCUAACUCAUAACCACACUAGAAAUGGUAAAGGCUAGACAGCCAACUCCUCUGUGCAUGAUGAGAUGUCAUGCAGAUUGGUGUUCUGGGUUUUAUGAUUCAUCAAAUCGCAAGAUUUUUGGAUUUCAAUUCAGAAAGUGAUAAAAAUGUCGAGGAUAUACGACAACUGGGAGAGGCUAGUUGCAGCCACACUGAGGGAACAGCUUCGGCAACUCUGUCACGCUCCCUCCAGGGACACCAGCAUCAGCUCCCGAGCUUCCAAUUUCAGUUUUCCUUCUCCAUAUCCCGACGUGCCCUUCGAUUCUUUAACCACAGUAGCUCUUCUUGGUAUCAGCACAGUCCUCCUUAUGUUGGAGGGUCUCACUGGGGCCAUAAUACCAGUGAUUUUGAAGUUGAGCAAAGUGCCAAGGCUGAGAAAUCACAGUUAUUGCCACCGGAAGAAAUCUUUGUAAAUGGUGAGCCACUUCGUCAAGAGGCGCUGGCUAUCUUGCAGAGCUGCCGGCAUCCACCCAAAAAGCUGAAACCGGGAUAUUAUUGGUAUGAUAGAUCCUCAGAUUUUUGGGGGAAGCAAGGAGAAGCCUUCACAAACCCCAUCUGAAUGUGGCCGGGCGACUCGACGUGUAUGCUAGCCACGGCAACACGCACGUUGACAUAAGUGGCCGGAGAUCACCAAAGUGGAGCUGCGUAUGUUAAAGUUUGCAGGUGUCAAAUAUAGGCUAGGUACACAGUUUUGGAUGUCUGCAGAUGGUUCGUACGUAUUAGAGGGUCUAAAUAACAUAUUGGGGUCUAUAUGGGACAAGGUGGUCCUUUCUGAACUAUGAAUUCACAUCACUCUACCAUUGGCUUCUUACUUUGUGAUGGAAGUUAAUUGUUUUUCAGGCUGGAAUGAAGCUACUUUGUUCUUUCCUCUCUCUUCCAUUUCCUCCUAAAUCUGCUUAUACUUCUGGAGAGCAAUCCGGGCCUGACUACUUGAGAAAAACGACAUUCAGAAACUGCUUUUGAUUGUAUGUGAUGUGAUGGAUCUGGAGCAAGGACCAUUUUUAAGCAGGUAGCUGGUGAUCAUUCACUCUCUGAAUAUUAGAGCAUAUUUUUUGAAGCUACAUCUUUCAUAUUCUGGCAGAAAGCAUGAUAUGUAACCUUCUGAUACCCUUACUCUCAUCAUGCUAUUCUAGUAAUGCUUGAUGGAUUGUUGUAUUUAUCAUACUGAAUAUUGGUUUCUUAGCCAAAUUUCUACAAAGAUGUAGCUUCCACAGAGGACGAGCUUGAACACAUCAAAGACUUGAUACACACAGGAACAUACAGUUGCAUUUGCCAACUCCUUUCUUCUCAUGAAUUCUGGUUGGCAGGUAAUGAUAUAGCAUGCGGCAUUCCCUUUAACCCUUGGGCCAGCAAAUGGCAUCAGUUGUCAGCACAUUUUUGUAUCAUUUUGUAUUCCUUACACAAUUUAUAAAAUAUAUUUUCAGCUUCUUAAGUUUAAGUCAUUUUCUGGAUAAUUUUAGACUUUCCUGCGGAUCAACACAUAUGGUAUUUUGACGAAAUCGCCUCCAAACACAUACAGAUCCUUGUAUGUUGAUUAUGCAGUUCAGAAAUGUCUGUCUAGGUACUAGUUUUGCUCUAUAAUUCCACGGAGUUGCAUACUUGCACUCAUAUCUUGAAACAUUUUGCUUCUGUGAACUGGAUUGAGGAACAAAUGCAUGAGAAACUUGAUGAUGACUGAAUAUACAUGUUUUAGUUUCAUGACUGGAAAAAUAUAUUUCUACAUGUUCUAUUUGUGCACCCUAUUUUCUGAUUAAUCUAGGGAAUUGUUUUACAAUAUGCUGGACUUUUCAGAACAGUUCAAAUGAGAGACCAGAUGUUCCUUAAUGCUUUUUGAUAUGCUUACAAAAUGGAAAUCCGUAUUAAAUUCCUUAGUCUGUAUCCCCGAAUGAAGAAGUAAGCACUUGGUACUUCAAAAUUGGUGUACUGGUAACCUAGGCCAGAUGGGUUUUCAUUAUAUUUCGAUCAAGUUCAAGAGACUCUUCGCUGCUCUAACUGGUCGAAAGUUGUAUGUUGUUGCACGAGUAAGCUGUCUGGAGCCAAAGAGCGUAGACGCAGCACUCAAGUAUGCGAGGGAAAUUCUGAAAUGGAAUGCAGAGUGAAUAUUUGUAUUACAGCACUGAGGAAAUUAUCUACUCUGAUGAAGAUGGUUUCGGUGAAUAUCUUAAUGUGAUUGACUUCGGUUAUUAUACAGAGUAAGAAAACUAGAGUUUGUAUAAGAAUUACUAUUCUUGGCAUUUCUCUGAGUUAUACGAGCGUUUGAUUCUGGGCUGAAGCAUGCCAUUCUAGAAUCCUUGCAGCAUUUCAAGAUUUACCUGAUGCUAAGUUCAUGCCUCCCGAUUGACGCUCGGGUAACUAAAAAAAAGAUUUAACUACUGAGUCCAGGUGUUCAAAACCAAGAACACAAGCUACCAGCUUAGAUAC